rnacentral:lncRNA from 1 species
AACCAGUGAAUUAGAUCAAACCAUCUACAACCAAGAUAUACAAGUAUAUGGAGAAAUAAGAGAACCAAAAAAAAGGCCACAAGCACAACAACACAACAUAAGAAAUUACGUGGUUCACCUGGACUACAUCCACAGGUACGGAGAAGAUCAAAAUACACUAUCAACUUUGAGAAGAAAUUACCACUCAACAACAAUGGGCUUACUACUUUUUAAUAGAAAAUCCUUUUCUCGCUACACCUUCUGAGCACUCUUCCGACCCCACGAAGCCCGCUUCAGAAUGCUCUAGAAAUUCUUCCAAAUAACCUUGAAAGCUUUGACAAGCAAGAAGAAUAAGAAAACUCACCACCAUUAAAACCCUCUUCUCAUCUCUCUUCUCUAUAUCAAGAAAAGAGAAU